GACGAACGCUGGCGGCGUGCUUAACACAUGCAAGUCGAACGGAAAGGCCCUGCUUUUGUGGGGUGCUCGAGUGGCGAACGGGUGAGUAACACGUGAGUAACCUGCCCUUGACUUUGGGAUAACUUCAGGAAACUGGGGCUAAUACCGGAUAGGAGCUCCUGCUGCAUGGUGGGGGUUGGAAAGUUUCGGCGGUUGGGGAUGGACUCGCGGCUUAUCAGCUUGUUGGUGGGGUAGUGGCUUACCAAGGCUUUGACGGGUAGCCGGCCUGAGAGGGUGACCGGCCACAUUGGGACUGAGAUACGGCCCAGACUCCUACGGGAGGCAGCAGUGGGGAAUAUUGCACAAUGGGCGGAAGCCUGAUGCAGCAGCGCCGCGUGCGGGAUGACGGCCUUCGGGUUGUAAACCGCUUUCGCCUGUGACGAAGCGUGAGCGACGGUAAUGGGUAAAGAAGCACCGGCUAACUACGUG
rnacentral:rRNA from 1 species